UCAUGUCUGACAUCAUUCUCUUUUUCUCUUCCCCCUCUCUUUCUCCUCCCUUUCUUUUUCUUCUGUUUACUUGGUCAUGUUGCAGGUGAUCAAAGUCCAUGCAGUCCUGUAUCUCGGUGGCCGGGUGCUAACCAUGACACCCGCCGCGCGGUCCUGGAAAGGUCUCGGUCGCGCCACAACGGAAACCCCCAGGCUCGAUGAUGGCCCGCACCUACCAGAAGACGUUAGAUAAGUGCCAAAGAGACCUGCGAGGAGAAUCUGAGGACAUCUAGCAGAGGGAUGGACCCCCACAGCGUGGCGCGCACACACACACACACACACACACACACACACACACACACUGCCAGGUCUUGAUGAAAACAAAAGGCCCCUAAAGAGCCUAAGAGUAACUGAGAAAACAAGAACAGGACAUCAUCACACAGGAUAUUCAAUAGUCAUACUGUUGGUCUGAUUGCCUUACAUAUUUAUUCUCUACUUUGUCAUGGCUUUGCCUGUACAUUACUGUCUAAAGCUUUGGUUGUUUUGGGGGGGGGGGGGGGGGGGAACGAUGUACUUGGUUGCUCAAAUUGUCAUAUAGUCUCACAGAACUUCACUAUAUCUGUCAGACAACCCAACCAUCCUAAAAACUGCCACACCUGUCCUCUCAUCUCUGGUCAUGUACUUCCGAUUGGAUGCAGUUUUGCUUGAAUUCUGAAACGUGAGUAGGGAUGUAACUAGAGAACAGACACCUCUCCAGUGAGGACUGACCUCUAGUGUAUCCCGCCUAACCACAUCUAACAAAGCUUUCUUUCUCUAUUCUGCUUUUAUUCAACACAUCCAGCAAUUAACUGUGGCCACAGGUGUGAACUCCUUUAUUUGUGAGAGUAUUUUCACCCGAAUUAAUCAGAUAAUACUAUGCAUAAUAUGUCUCACAACAAGGAUACAGAACUGGAAAUAUGCAUCAGUGAUCUUUAGAGUGUAUGACUGAAUUCUCCAUACGUUGUGGUAGAGAAAGCAUCAUAUUCAUUGUUUUUUGUUUUUCUCCCUGAGAUGUCAAAUGCCGUAGGGUACUAAACAUGUUUUUAGAUAUUUUUGCAAAUGUUUUGAAAAUGAAAUACAGAUAUCUAAUUUACAUAAGUAUUCACACCCCUGAGUCAAUACAUGUUACACGUUUGGCAUCGAUUACAACUGAGUCUUUCUGGGUAAGUCUCUAAGAGCUUUGCACACCUGGAUUGUACAAUAUUUGCACAUCAUUCUCAAAACAAUUAUUUAAGCUCUGUCAUGUUGGUUGUUGAUCAUUGCUAGACAGUCUUGCCAUACAUUUUCAAGCUGAUUUAAGUCAAAACUGUAACUAGGCCACUCAGAUAACUGAGCACAGAUAACUCAUGUGUAGAGGUUUGGAUAGAUUUGAGCCAUGAUUUCAAUUUAAAUAAAAAAAUACAAUAAUCAGUGCAGUUGACAAGUUGAAUCACGUGUGCUUGUCCAGGGUUACAAUAACAUGUGUACUGUUGGGGGAACCGGAGGACCAGGGUUGGGAAACACUGCCCUAGUCCUUGCCAAUGACAAGCAUACCCAUAACAUGAUGCCGCCACCACCAUGCUUGAAAAUAUGAAGAGUGGUACACAGUGAUGUGUGGUGUUGGAUUUGCUCCGAACAUGAUGCUUUCUAUUCAGGACAUAAAGUUAGUUUCUUUGCCAUAUUUUUUGCAGUAUUAAUUUAGUGCCUUAUUGCAAACAGGAUGCAUGUUUUGGAAUAUUUUUAUUCUUUACAGGCUUUCUUCUUUUCACUCUGUCAUUUAGGUUAGUAUUGUGGAGUAACUACAGUGUUGUUGAUCCAUCCUCAGUUUUCUCCUAUCACAGCUAUUAAACUCUGGAACAGUUUUAAAGUCACCAUUGGCCCCAUGGUGAAAUCCCUCAGAGAUUUCCUCCCUCUCCGGCAACUGAGUUAGGAACUGAGUUUUUUUUACCCAUCUACCAAUAGGUGCCCUUCUUUGCGAGGCAUUGGAAGACAUCCCCGUCUUUGAAUCUGUGUUUGAAAUUCACUGCUCGUCUGAGGGACCUUACAGAUAAUUGUAUGUGUGAGGAACAGAGAUAAGGUAGUUAUUCAAAAAUCAUGUUAAACACUAUUAUUGCCCACAAAGUGAGUCAAUGCAACUUAUUAUGUGACUUGUUAAGCACAUUUUUACUCCUGAACUUAUUUAGGCUUGCCAUAACAAAGGGGUUGAAUACUUAUUGACUCAAGACAUUUCAGCUUUACAUUUUUUAUGAAUUUGUGAACAUUUCUAAAAACAUAAUUCCACUUUGACAUUGUGGGGUAUUCUGUGUAGGCAAGUGACAGAAAAUCUCAAUGUAGUCCAUUUUAAAUUCAGGCUGUAACAUAACAAAAUGUGGAAAAGGUCAAGGGGUGUGAAUACUUUCUGAAGGCACUGUACAGUAUGCCUCAGCAAAAGGCUGGUUUCCACUAGAUAGCACAAGCACAAAGUCCAAAUUGGCUAUCGUAAAAAUACAUGUGGGAAAAAUGUGCUUCUUGGUCUUAAUUUAAGGUUGGGGUUAGGUUUAGGCUUAAGGUUAGCAGUGUGGUUAAAGUUAGGAUUAAGGUAUAAAAUCACUUUUUAAGAUGAGAAAUUGUAGAAAUAGGUGGGGGUGUAUUAUUUUGUGUCUGCGGUAACUAGUGACAACUGCUUUCAUUGAGCAGUAGACUACACGAGCCAGUCAAGCUCCUGAAUUGCUAACUAGCUUUAGCAUGCUAAAACAUUAGCCUGUCUUCUCCAGUUAAACUUCUAAAUGUCUUAGUGGUUUUAUCAUGCUAAGCCUUUAGCUUGUCAGAGAUGGAAAGAUGUGCAUGGGUUCUCAGGAGGGGGGCUAACAUUCUAUUGAAAUUGCAAAACCCUUUCAAAUCGUUUUUAUUGUGUUCAUGUUUCUUUCCCAUGUUUUUUGUGGCUAUGUCAUGAAAGGCCUUGUUUCUUGAUGUCAGAGCUAAGAGCUUUCCCGUUACUAGCAGUUUCCUAAUCGCAGCAUAACCUGCCCAGACUUCACACUCAUUUGACAAGAUGUCAUACGAAACAAAAUGGCCAUAUGAAAGGGGAAAAAAUUGAAUGCAUAAAGGCUAGUUUGAGCAUUCAGUCGACCGCAAGGAAAAUAAAGCUCUGAGCAAUGUGCUCACAUUAGGAGCCAUUUGAGAUUUUUUUCCCCCUCUUUUCCUUAUUUCUUUUUUUUGCACGGAUUAAUUCUCAUAUUCACAGAGAGUGCCUAGAGCAUGCUUGUCCCUUCCAUGUCUGAGCAGUAAGCAGAUGCGAGAGAAAUGGUUGCUUUCCCCCACAAGGAAAGCGUACCCAGUGGAAUACAUUGAGGGUCUAUGCUGACAGCAUGGUGGCUGUCUUAGUAAGGGAAGCCUCCACACACCCUCCCUUGACCUACUGCUUAUGGCGUGAGUAAAUGCUCACCAUAACGUGAUGUCUCAAUUAUACCAUAUCACUGCUGGAAAAACUGUGUGCAGAAAAUCAUGCCUUUCCCAGUGAUCGGUACAGAAGCUUGGGAGGAAAGCGGUGGCUGUG
ensembl:lncRNA